GGAGCUGAUGCAGCGACGCCGCGUGGGGGAUGACGGCCUUCGGGUUGUAAACUCCUUUCACCAUCGACGAAGGGUUUCUGACGGUAGAUGGAGAAGAAGCACCGGCUAACUACGUGCCAGCAGCCGCGGUAAUACGUAGGGUGCGAGCGUUGUCCGGAAUUACUGGGCGUAAAGAGCUCGUAGGUGGUUUGUCGCGUCGUCUGUGAAAUUCCGGGGCUUAACUCCGGGCGUGCAGGCGAUACGGGCAUAACUUGAGUACUGUAGGGGAGACUGGAAUUCCUGGUGUAGCGGUGAAAUGCGCAAAUAUCAGGAGGAACACCGGUGGCGAAGGCGGGUCUCUGGGCAGUAACUGACGCUGAGGAGCGAAAGCAUGGGGAGCGAACAGGAUUAGAUACCCUGGUAGUCCAUGCCGUAAACGGUGGGCGCUAGGUGUGGGUUUCCUUCCACGGGAUCCGUGCCGUAGCUAACGCAUUAAGCGCCCCGCCUGGGGAG
rnacentral:rRNA from 1 species